rnacentral:rRNA from 1 species
UACGUAGGGUGCGAGCGUUAAUCGGAAUUACUGGGCGGAAAGCGUGCGCAGGCGGUGAUGUAAGACAGAUGUGAAAUCCCCGGGCUCAACCUGGGACCUGCAUUUGUGACUGCAUCGCUGGAGUGCGGCAGAGGGGGAUGGAAUUCCGCGUGUAGCAGUGAAAUGCGUAGAUAUGCGGAGGAACACCGAUGGCGAAGGCAAUCCCCUGGGCCUGCACUGACGCUCAUGCACGAAAGCGUGGGGAGCAAACAGG